rnacentral:rRNA from 1 species
CCUACGGGAGGCUGCAGUGAGGAAUAUUGGUCAAUGGACGAGAGUCUGAACCAGCCAAGUAGCGUGAAGGAUGACUGCCCUAUGGGUUGUAAACUUCUUUUAUAUGGGAAUAAAAUGUUCCACGUGUGGGAUUUUGUAUGUACCAUAUGAAUAAGGAUCGGCUAACUCCGUGCCAGCAGCCGCGGUAAUACGGAGGAUCCGAGCGUUAUCCGGAUUUAUUGGGUUUAAAGGGAGCGUAGGUGGAUUGUUAAGUCAGUUGUGAAAGUUUGCGGCUCAACCGUAAAAUUGCAGUUGAAACUGGCAGUCUUGAGUACAGUAGAGGUGGGCGGAAUUCGUGGUGUAGCGGUGAAAUGCUUAGAUAUCACGAAGAACUCCGAUUGCGAAGGCAGUUCACUGGACUGCAACUGACACUGAGGCUCGAAAGUGUGGGUAUCAAACAGGAUUAGAUACCCUUGUAUGUC